UAGGAUUGAAGUCCGGCUCUGAAACGUGA
rnacentral:piRNA from 1 species